CCAUCAAUAACUAUAUCCUGUGGCCUACUGUGUUGUUGUUGUUGUUGUUGUCGCACUGCUUUUGCUUUAUCUUGGCCAGGACGCAGUUGUAAAUGAGAACAUGUUCUCAACUGGCCUACCUGGUUAAAUAAAGGUGAUCUGGCCUACCUGGUUAAAUAAAGGUGAUCUGGCCUACCUGGUUAAAUAAAGGUGAACUGGCCUACCUGGUUAAAUAAAGGUGAUCUGGCCUACCUGGUUAAAUAGAGGUGAACUGGCCUACCUGGUUAAAUAAAGGUGAUCUGGCCUACCUGGUUAAAUAAAGGUGAACUGGCCUACCUGGUUAAAUAAAGGUGAUCUGGCCUACCUGGUUAAAUAAAGGUGAUCUGGCCUACCUGGUUAAAUAAAGGUGAUCUGGCCUACCUGGUUAAAUAAAGGUGAUCUGGCCUACCUGGUUAAAUAAAGGUGAUCUGGCCUACCUGGUUAAAUAAAGGUGAUCUGGCUUACCUGGUUAAAUAAAGGUGAUCUGGC